AUGUGUCGAUAUCCAGAUCAAAUCUCCCAGGGUUCUUUUACAGUGAUUUGCUGCCAGCUUCACCCUUGGCCAGAGUGCAGUAGUGAAACCGGAAGUGACAGUGCCAGGUUUGGCCUGUACUGUUUCUCUCCUAGUAUUAAUCCAGCAGCCCCUCUACUCUUUGAGAAAGACCUCAUUACCAGCCUCAUUGAUUGUGCUUCCUGCAUCAACGACCACAGCUUCUUCUACCACACCAACUGAGAGAGAGAGAGAGAGAGAGAGAGAGAGAGAGAAGGAGGCUUAGCCCAGUGCAUCUGUGUGUCCUGCAUUAUGGGUAGGGAGGUAAGCAGUAGGCAGGAGGUUUAUGGUGCUGUAAUUGGUAGUUAGUGUGAUAUUUGUAAGACAAAUAGAGCUAUAUGUGCGAUUCCUCCUCUCUCUCUCCUCUCUAGUCUUUACAGCCACCAAAGGGCCUCAUUAUAGCCCACCGCAGCCCAGGCCUCACUGCACCGCACACACACAUGAAGGGCAGGAAGUUGUGUGUGACAGUGUGGCUGCCAGGACUGAUAGAUGAUACAGUAAGUGUGGUAUUCAUUGAGAGAGGACCCUGACGGUCGGGGGAAUGAAACAGCUCUUCAUUAUAUCGCAACCCGGUGGACGUUUUACACUCACGCUGUGCGCGGCGGGACUGACCGAGUUUACUGUGGUCACUCAUGCAUAUGUGGGGUUCUGAAUUAACUUUUUUACAAGACCUGCCAAUGGUGAGCAAAUCUGGAUAACAACCAUCUAUCACUGUGUUGUUAUUGUUAACUAAAACUAUUAUAUAUUGUUUUUACUUUUUUUUUUUUUUUGGUCAUUAAAAUAAAGAUGACAUAAAGUAAAAUAUAAAUAUUAAA
ensembl:lncRNA